UUUUGUUUGGAGAGUUUGAUCCUGGCUC
rnacentral:rRNA from 1 species